UACAGAGGUCCCGAGCGUUGUUCGGAUUCACUGGGCGUAAAGGGUGCGUAGGCGGUCGGGUAAGUCUGAUGUGAAAUCUCACAGCUUAACUGUGAAACUGCAUUGGAUACUAUCCGGCUAGAGGAAUGGAGGGGAGACUGGAAUACUUGGUGUAGCAGUGAAAUGCGUAGAUAUCAAGUGGAACACCAGUGGCGAAGGCGAGUCUCUGGACAUUUCCUGACGCUGAGGCACGAAAGCCAGGGGAGCAAACGGG
rnacentral:rRNA from 1 species